rnacentral:misc_RNA from 1 species
AAGUCGUAACAAGGUUUCCGUAGGUGAACCUGCGGAAGGAUCAUUACAGAGUUAGGGUCCUCUGGGCCCGAUCUCCCAACCCUUUGUUUACCAAACCAUAUUGUUGCUUCGGCGAGCCCGUCUGUUACGGACCGCCGGGGGACCUCAAACGGUCUCCUGGCCCGCGCUCGCCGGUGGCCAACCAUUAAAUUCUUAACUAAACGUGUCUUGACUGAGUACAAAUUUUAAAUUAAAAGCAAAACUUUCAACAACGGAUCUCUUGGUUCUG